AACGAACGCUGGCGGCGUGCCUAAUACAUGCAAGUCGAACGUUAGAUGUAGCAAUACAUCGAAAGUGGCGAACGGGUGAGUAACACGUAAGUAAUCUGCCUUUAAGAUUGGGAUAACCUUGCCAACGCGGGGCUAAUACCGGAUGUGAUUAACAGAACGCAUGUUUUGUUAAUUAAAGGAGUGAUCCGCUUAAAGAUGAACUUGCGGCCCAUUAGUUAGUUGGCGGGGUAACGGCCCACCAAGACCGCGAUGGGUAGCCGGCCUGAGAGGGUGUACGGCCACAUUGGGACUGAGAUACGGCCCAGACUCCUACGGGAGGCAGCAGUAGGGAAUUUUGCGCAAUGGACGAAAGUCUGACGCAGCAACGCCGCGUGAGGGAUGAAGGUCUUCGGAUUGUAAACCUCUGUUGAAUGGGAAAAAAGUAGCAAUAUUUGAUGGUAUCAUUUGAGGAAGCACCGGCUAACUACGUG
rnacentral:rRNA from 1 species